UGUGAAUUGGCAGAAUUCAGUGAAUCAUCGAAUCUUUGAACGCACCUUGCGCCCCUUGGCAUUCCGAGGGGCACACCCGUUUGAGUGUCGUG
rnacentral:rRNA from 1 species